rnacentral:rRNA from 1 species
UACGUAGGGUGCAAGCGUUGUCCGGAAUUAUUGGGCGUAAAGAGCUCGUAGGCGGUUUGUCGCGUCUGCUGUGAAAACUCGGGGCUUAACCCUGGGCCUGCAGUGGGUACGGGCAGACUAGAGUGCGGUAGGGGAGACUGGAAUUCCUGGUGUAGCGGUGGAAUGCGCAGAUAUCAGGAGGAACACCGAUGGCGAAGGCAGGUCUCUGGGCCACUACUGACGCUGAGAAGCGAAAGCAUGGGGAGCGAACAGG